rnacentral:rRNA from 1 species
AUUAUGCUGUAAUGUAUAAGGAGAAGUCAUGGCAAAUACAGGUGCCAGCAGCCGCGGUAAUACCUGAGUGACAAGCAUUAUUCGCAAUGACUGGGUGUAAAGGAUGCGUAGGAGAUUUUAAAAAGUAACUGACUAAAUUCUUGGAAAAGAUGGGCUUUUACUGUUUAUAAAUAUUUGAGUAUCUAUAGAGAGUUGAGGUGUGUCUAAAUAGUGAUAAAAUACUAAGAUUUAGCCAUUCUUGCCAAUCGUAUAAGUAACGGCUCUUAUAGAUUCUGACUCUGAGGCAUUAAAGUAAGGGAAAUAAACAGGAUUAGAGACCCUGGUAAUCCUUACCCUAAAUGAUGAUUA